GCCGCGAUAGGGCCCGGGGAGCUGGCAACUGAGCUUUGAUCCGGGGGUGUCCGAAUGGGGAAACCCGGCAGUCGUCAUGGGCUGUCACCCACUGCUGAACACAUAGGCAGGGUGGAGGGAACGAGGGGAAGCGAAACAUUUCAGUACCCUCAGGAAGAGAAAAAAACCGUGAUUCCGGGAGAAGUGGCGAGCGAAACCGGAUGAGGCCAAACCGUAUGGGUGGGAUACCCGGCAGGGGUUGCGCAUGGGGGGUUGGGGGAAUGAGCUUGAUCGGUCUGCCGGCCGGGCGGCGAGUCAGA
rnacentral:rRNA from 1 species